rnacentral:rRNA from 1 species
AUUGAACGCUGGCGGCAGGCCUAACACAUGCAAGUCGAACGAGUGGCGGACGGGUGAGUAAUUUCUGGGAAACUGCCUGAUGGAGGGGGAUAACUACUGGAAACGGUAGCUAAUACCGCAUACCAUCGGAUGUGCCCAGAUGGGUUUGGCGUGUUGGUGGGGUAACGGCUCACCAAGGCGACGAUCCCUAGCUGGUCUGAGAGGAUGACCAGCCACACUGGAACUGAGACACGGCCCAGACUCCUACGGGAGGCAGCAGUGGGGAAUAUUGCACAAUGGGCGAAAGCCUGAUGCAGCAAUGCCGCGUGUGUGAAGAAGGCCUUCGGGUUGUAAAGUACUUUCAGCGGGGAGGCGUUACCCACACAAGAAGCACCGGCUAACUCCGUGCCAGCCGCCGCGGUAAUUC